AGUUGAGCUGGGUUUUUUUGUUUGUUUUUUGGUUUUUCCUGCCAAGUUCUCCCAACAGAAUGCACUGCACCUCCACACCACACAGGCCCCAAGGGAAUGGGACAACUUAUUUAUGCUGGACCAUCUGAGAAUGUGAGCCCAAAUGACCCACUUCUCUCAGGUGUUUGGCUGGUAGAUUCUGGUGUGCAUGCUCUAAGGAGUAUGGGGGCUCUGAGAGCUGGAAACGGCUUUUCUCCAGUUUCCACUAGAAGCAGUCUUGUCCUGAUGGUGGCUUGCAACAACCUUGGCCUUGACCCACUGAUGCUGAGCCACUCGGUUUGUGGUCCCUUCCUUCAGCUACCACAAGAAAUAGAUGUGCAACGACCAGAAGUGUGUAGACCACCAUCUUUCAGCUCCUAGAACUAAAGGAACAGGAGUCUGGGAGACAAAGUCAAUGUCUCGAGGCCUUAAAGCAAGUGACACAGACUGGAAAAAACCUCUGGGGUUGGGGGGAGGUGACCAUUGCAUCAGACUGCUAAGAUGAUCUGCCUGCCUGCAAAGGAGUGGAUGUUCAAGGUUACUUCUCUGUCCAUCCUUCUUCACUCAGCCUCAUCAGUCCCGGGCCCUGACCUGGCUUCUCUCACAGGCAAUGGUAGUUACCCUGUACCCUGUGUUCCUGCCACGUGACACCAUGGUGGACUGUAUCCUGGAACUGUAAGCCAUGAGAAACACUUCCCUGAGUGGCUUUCAUCGGGUAUUUCACUGCGGCAAUGAGACAAGAAACUAACACAGACACAGGUAACAGAGCUGUACGGAGUGGCUGGCAUGGCCUUCAUGCUAGAGGGACGGAUGGUACGGAGACUCAGUAUGGCUCUUCAGGAUAGACUGGAGUAAAUCACAGGCUCCAGGAAGGAGGCGCCAAGGGGAGAAAGCAGCUGAGGAGGCACAGAAGGCAGAAACACGGCAGAAGGCACAAACUCUUCUAUAUGUGCCUAGGCAUGAUCAAGAGACUGCAGGGAGCAGCACAUAGUAGGUGCUCAGGAAACUACGAUGACUGGAAAUGUAAUCCUGUUAUUUAUAACUAUCACUUCAUAAACUAUGCACCACUGUCCCUACUGAUGUCUUCUUUUUUUUUCCUGUUUUACUAAUCAGAAUUUCUUAUUCCCUGACCCUCUCUCACAGAGGAGACUCUAUAUUUACAGAGACCUUCCAGGGAGAAUACGACUGCCCCACCCCCUAUGCAAAGGAGCAAAAGAGAGGCACAAAGAGGUGAAGUGUUUUGUCUGUGGUCACAUUGCUAGGGGAGGCAAGAUCUGAAUGGAGUACUGCAGAACAUUUUAGGCCUUGCUUUUUCUACCAGGGAUCUAGGCUGCUGAGUUGCUCAUGUGCCAACUUGACUCCUGCUGUCCCUUCAUGAUUUGCAGCUGGCCCGCAGAAAUGAUUGGUCCAUGCCAGACCUGGCUAUUCCUAGCGGCCUCUUUGUCCAGCUCACUGUGUUCUAGAAUGAUGGUGAGACUUAGGUCAGGUGGCCGCUGUGGGCUCUGUGAGGGGCUCUAACAGGCCUAAGUAUGGCAGACAUAGCUCUGGCAGGUCUUGUCUUCCCCUAUUCCCUCUGCCUUGCUAAACCAUUAGAUUGCACUCCUAAAGCUAGCCCUCAAGGUCUAUUCUCUUAUUUGGCCACUUCCUCCUCCUGAGGCUGACCACUACGGUCUAGCUAUAAAAGCAUUGAAAUCCAGCAAUCAAAAGCCCCCUUUUGACUCAUCCAAUUAACCUGUCCAAUCAAAAUUAAACACCUCAUCUUAACACAGGGUUUCCCUUUUCCCUUUAUAAACUGCCAUUUGUCCGUGGGCCAAAUCUGUUUCCUCACUACCCAAAGGCAGUCCCCUCCCCCUCUCCUUUGUUCCCUUCCCCUUCGCCCUCUAUCUCCUGUCUUUGUCUCUUAUUCCCUGCCCUUUGGUCCUCUCAGGAAAAUUAAUCUUUGUGC
rnacentral:lncRNA from 1 species